GGCCAGUUCCGCCCGGGGUGGCAACGGUCUGCAAAACCGUUUGGGACGGGUUCGACUCCCGUAUUGGCCU
rnacentral:tRNA from 1 species